UACAGAGGGGGCAAGCGUUAUUCGGAAUUAUUGGGCGUAAAGGGCUCGUAGGCGGUUUGUCGCGUCGGGAGUGAAAACUCAGGGCUCAACCCUGAGCGUGCUUCCGAUACGGGCAGACUAGAGGUAUGCAGGGGAGAACGGAAUUCCUGGUGUAGCGGUGGAAUGCGCAGAUAUCAGGAGGAACACCGGUGGCGAAGGCGGUUCUCUGGGCAUUACCUGACGCUGAGGAGCGAAAGCAUGGGGAGCGAACAGG
rnacentral:rRNA from 1 species